UACGGAGGGAGCUAGCGUUGUUCGGAAUUACUGGGCGUAAAGCGCACGUAGGCGGAUAUUUAAGUCGGGGGUGAAAUCCCGGGGCUCAACCCCGGAACUGCCUUCGAUACUGGGUAUCUUGAGUUCGGAAGAGGUGAGUGGAAUUGCGAGUGUAGAGGUGAAAUUCGUAGAUAUUCGCAGGAACACCAGUGGCGAAGGCGGCUCACUGGUCCGAUACUGACGCUGAGGUGCGAAAGCGUGGGGAGCAAACAGG
rnacentral:rRNA from 1 species